AGCCCGUUAGUGCAGUAGUCAAGCAUAUGAGAUUUUCAAUCACAAGAUCCUAGGUUCGAAUCCUAGACGGGCCU